UGAGACGUUAAAGUUAUUUUUCUCCUGGGAAAGUGGCUAUCAAAACAAAAGUUGUUCUUUUUUCGCUGUGUCGCCUGAUGAAUGGCGACUGAGAGAUAUUUUGAACGUUACUUCGCCGUUGCCGUUUUCAUUUUAGCAUUUGAAUAUGGCAACGCUCGUCCUACAAUGGAUUCGCUCUAUGGAGAUCAUGUCUACU